GGCUAGGUAGCUCAGUUGGUAGAGCAGGGGAUUGAAAAUCCCCGUGUCGGCGGUUCGAUUCCGUCCCUGGCCA
rnacentral:tRNA from 1 species